rnacentral:rRNA from 1 species
UACGUAGGGGGCAAGCGUUGUCCGGAAUCAUUGGGCGUAAAGCGCGUGUAGGCGGCUGGCUAAGUCCGCUCUGAAAACCCGGGGCUCAACCCCGGGCCUGCAGUCGAUACGGGCAGACUAGAGUGCGGUAGGGGAGACUGGAAUUCCUGGUGUAGCGGUGAAAUGCGCAGAUAUCAGGAGGAACACCGGUGGCGAAGGCGGGUCUCUGGGCCGUAACUGACGCUGAGGAGCGAAAGCGUGGGGAGCGAACAGG